UACGAAGGGGGCUAGCGUUGCUCGGAAUUACUGGGCGUAAAGCGCACGUAGGCGGUCUUUUAAGUCGGGGGUGAAAUCCUGGAGCUCAACUCCAGAACUGCCUUCGAUACUGGAAGACUUGAGUCCGGGAGAGGUGAGUGGAACUGCGAGUGUAGAGGUGAAAUUCGUAGAUAUUCGCAAGAACACCGGUGGCGAAGGCGGCCGGCUGGGGGUGGACCUGGACGCUGAGGCGCGAAAGCGUGGGGAGCGAACCG
rnacentral:rRNA from 1 species